CCGUUUAGGGUAACCUGAGAAACCGAAAGGUCGAAGGAGAAAUUCAUUCGCGUUUCGCGGCAGGCGUGGGGCGGACGAGUGACGGGAAGCGCGUUCGCGCGUUUCUCGCGCCUUUCGCUCUUCGAUCCGGCCGCGAACGCGUGCACUUUUCUCCCGGUAGGACGUCGCGAUCCGUUGGGCGUCGGUCUACGGCAUGCGGAGGAGCCCGCUCGCGUCAUUCGUGACGUGGACGGACCCGCGUCGCCCGGCCGACUCGCUCGACGGUAUACGAAAGGUUUAAGGCCGCUCCCUGUGAGCGUUCGGCUCGCGGCAAGCGCGUCAGACGCGUUGGCGAUCGGACUUCGUGCCGAUUCUGACCUCUGGCGACUGUUGGCCGCGAAGUUCUCGAACAGACCUUCCAACCGAUNUGCGACGNUAUAGCUUUGGGUACUUUCAGGACCCGUCUUGAAACACGGACCAAGGAGUCUAGCAUGUGCGCGAGUCAUUGGGAAUCACUAAACAUAAAGGCGCAAUGAAAGUAAAGGUCCUCCUUGCGGGGACCGAGGGAAGACGGGCGGUUUACCCUUAAAAGUGGCCGCCUCGCAUUCCCGGGGCGUCUCGUUCUCAUCGCGAGAAGAGGCGCACCAAGAGCGUACACGCUGGGACCCGAAAGAUGGUGAACUAUGCCUGGUCAGGACGAAGUCAGGGGAAACCCUGAUGGAGGUCCGUACCGAUUCUGACGUGCAAAUCGAUCGUCGGAACUGGGUAUAGGGGCGAAAGACUAAUCNAACCAUCUAGUAGCUGGU
rnacentral:rRNA from 1 species